UAUAACGACCAGAUUUAAUCUAAAAUUAUUAACUAAUUAAUCAGACAAAAAAGGCUUGAUUAAGGACUCCUAUUUUCUUAUGGAGACUUAAAACGUAGCUUAUGGGGACCUGAAAGAUAGCUCGGGUCGUACAUGUUGUUUUUUGUUUGAUGGAAGGUCGUACAUGUUGUUAGUCCCAUGCGUUGCCUAAUAAGAGUCAAAAUUCCAUACGUGGUCUUAGAGCCCCACAAAUAAAAAAUCUAAUGGGCCCAAACAUUAUCUAGCAAAAGAGAAACAGGAGGGAAAAUAUCUAAAGCCAUAAACAGAUUUCGGAAUCAUGUGGGGCUCUCGAACGAAAGCAUACACAUGCACCUCCACGCAUCUCCAAUCUUGAUGUCCUCAUCCAUUGCCGCCUCUCCCUGAUGGCUGCAUCACAGAUUAUAUUCCUCCCGUUGCUGCAGCCUGCAGGUCUGCAGGUUCUUAUUCUUCUUAUAUCUCCACUCUCCUACCUCUCCACACUGUCGCCAAUAUCUCAUGGGAGCCAUGGAGGCAGCAUAGGAAGAUGGAUAUACAUAACGUGAGGAAUAUGGCUUGCUACUAUAUCACACACAUGCGUUGCAGGUGGCCGGAUGUCUGUAUCUUCGUCAGCAAUAGCGAGACGAAACUGAGGUUGAUCGAUCAUUUUUAUGCUCACCCAAUUAUCCAAUUGGAUAUCUGCAUCAUAAAAAAACAAAUGGUGGUGUGUUCAGAGGGAAGCUUUUUGAUAGUGUUGUUUGCAGAUAAGGAGUGUAUGUGAAUUCAGAAGGUGAAGAAUGUGGUACCUUGCAGUAUUUAUCUCAAGCAACAACCAACAUGAGAGAUGGAAAAUGUUGCUUAAGUUACAUUCUCGGUAGCUUCACCCAUAUUUUUCGACUAGGUAUGUUAUGUGCCGUUCCUUUGUUAAAAUUGAUGUAAGAAAUAAUUCAAACCAUAUUUUAGUUGGUUUUUCUUCAAUUUGUUUUCCUGCUGUAUGGAACUUGGAUUUUCUUAGGAAGAGCUAAUUAAAAUUAAAUCCUUAACACUGAGAAGAAAUUUAUGUGCACUGAUCAAUUCCAUCAUAAUAAACAGUAUGCGCUGUAGUUGAUAUGUAUGUCAUAUAUAUGCAUGUGCAGACUUUACUAUAUAGACACACAUCAUGAGAAGAUAAAUUAAUUUCAGUCUAUUUCUUUUCUUUAAUUUUAAGCAGAAAAUGGCCUUGCACGCAUAUAUUUCCAUUCACAUAUAGUGGGAUAUAUAUUGGUAGAAAGAGUCAUGUUGUAGGAUUCCUCUAAUUAAUUGCCGCAUCUUUCUCCACAUGGGAUGAUUAUGAAGAUAUCAUGUAUAUACAUUAUGAAUGCAAUCUAUUUUAUGUAUAUUAGAUUUAUCUUGGAUGUGCUUUUGCAUCAAAAUUUAACACCAACAAAAUUUGAGCAAAUCAAGAUAUCUCAAUUGGGGAACCAUUGGUAACUUGGGCCAUCUUUUUAGGAGAGGCAUGUUUGAUUAAUUUUGGUGCAACAAUUCAUUAAAGGUAGGCAAUAAAUUUUUUUAUCUCAGGAGAGAUCAAAAUUGAGUUAAUAGCCGAAACAUAAAACAUUUUCUAUAUACAUGGUACUGCUUAAAAUUAUUGUUUGUUUCUACCAAAUGAUAAUACACUAUUGGAGAUACCAAUGCUAGACUUUCCGUCACUUUGACAAAUAUGAGAAAUUAGUUUUACUAAACAAAAUGGUUUUAUCUAGAAAUGGCCACAUGAGCAUAUUUUUUUACUUAAGCAAAAUUAGAAUGGUGCGGAACAGCUGGACAGUUAUAACGUGGGUAUAUUUGACAUACAUAAUGCUUUGAUAACUUUAUUUUUGCAUAACAGUGAUCCAUCUGUUAAUGUGGCGUUAAUGUUGAUAUAGAUGGAAGGCUUACGAGUGCACUGUUGCUGCAUAAAUUGUGAUCUGCUGUCUUUUUAGUGGAUCAUUACCUAGCUCAGUUUUAGCAUUAAUUAUUAUUUCUAACUUCCGAAUGACGGUUUAUUUAAUUUUUUCAUAAGUGCAUGUGGGUAUUAAUUGAUGCUAAUUUAACAGAUUAUUCUUGAAAUAGCAAAUAAUUAUGUAACUGGUGUAGCUUUCAUUGAUUCAUUAAAUUAUUGUAUCCAUUAUAUGUAUUUGGUAACAGUUAACAAAAUAGUGAACAGAGAGUAAUCAUUUUCA